CAAUAGCGUAUAUUAAAGUUGUUGCGGUAAAAAAGCUCGUAGUUGGAUUUCUACCGAAGAUAGCCGGUCGGGUCUUCGACCUUGUAUCUGGUGUUGUCUUUGGUAUCCUCAUAGGGAACGUUUCUGCGCUUUAUUGCGUGGUGCGGUAUCUAUGACUUUUACUUUGAGGAAAUUAGAGUGUUCACGGCAGGCAAACGCCUUGAAUAUAUUAGCAUGGAAUAAUAACAUAGGAUCUUCGUCCUAUUUUGUUGGUUUCUAGGGCUAAGAUAAUGAUUAAUAGGGAUAAUUGGGGGCAUCUGUAUCAACGCGUCAGAGGUGGAAUUCUUGGAUUGCGUUGCGACAAACUACUGCGAAAGCAUUUGCCAAGGAUGUUUUCAUUGA
rnacentral:rRNA from 1 species